rnacentral:sRNA from 1 species
UGUGCAUUCUUAUCAUCAUCUGCGUUUCCUCUGCUUACUGGUCUGCCGAUGGGUGGGUACACUUUGCUGCGGUGAGCUGCCUGACCCUUGUUAUCAUCAAUUUCAUUUGCCACUUGACAGAUAUCUACCAUUUCUUUAUAUUUUGGCAUUUUCUAGAGUUUAUUGAAUAUUGUAUUUCUGAUGGGUUGCUGCUUAUGUCAGCUAUUGUGUCGGCGGUAGGGGCACCUAUACAUCCGGGUAUUGCAGCAGCUGCAGUUUUCAACUUCCUUGCACUGGCUGUGUUUGGGGUGGAUACGUACUACAUGUUCAAAGCCUGGCAGGAGCACAAACGUCAGCUGGUGGGCGCAGCUGUGGUCACUGAGGUCACUACUACAACUACAAUAACACCUACUAAAUAGAAUGUCAAGAACCAUCCACAAGAUUCUCAACACUGGGAGAGUAUAAGUACAUGACAAUAGAGUCAAGUAUCAGAUGAAAGUAUUAUUAAUAGUUGUGAGAAGUAAGAUUAUAGUCAGCGCCAAAAAUAGGAGCAACUACAAGGGACAAGCGUUAAUGUGGGCUGCACAAAAUAAAUAUCUAAACUAUCUGA